CUGUAAAUCAUUUGGGUUUAUAAAAACUACUAAUAUUAAAUAUACCAUGUCUGACAUCAAACAACUAAAUAUACUAUAUCCAAUAUCAAAGCUACAUCCAAUAUUUAAAUAACUAUCAUUCUCAUUCUACAUCCGUCCACUGAUUCAAAUUGAAAACUAUAAAGAACUUCCAUUUCAUAUAGUUUUUUAUUCUCAAAUACUCUGAGAAAUAUAUUGUUAUUACAUCCUCUGAUUUUUAACC
rnacentral:lncRNA from 1 species